AGUGGGACCGAUGCAGAAAGGAUGCUGACACUGUGUGACAGGGUCCCAGGAAACCAAUAAAGAAUACUGAGAAAGAGAGGCGUGAUGUUCCAGUGACCUACCAAGAAAGAGCCCUGAACAUUCAGUCCACCGGACAGAUAAACAAAACAGUUGUUUUGUAUACGUGUCACAGCUCAGAACCACUUUCCUAUUGG